rnacentral:rRNA from 1 species
AGCGAACGCUGGCGGCAGGCCUAACACAUGCAAGUCGAACGAAGUCUUCGGACUUAGUGGCGGACGGGUGAGUAACACGUGGGAACGUACCUUUUGGUUCGGAACAACUCAGGGAAACUUGAGCUAAUACCGGAUGAGCCCUUAGGGGGAAAGAUUUAUCGCUGAAAGAGCGGCCCGCGUUAGAUUAGCUAGUUGGUGAGGUAAAGGCUCACCAAGGCUACGAUCUAUAGCUGGUCUGAGAGGAUGAGCAGCCACACUGGGACUGAGACACGGCCCAGACUCCUACGGGAGGCAGCAGUGGGGAAUCUUGCGCAAUGGGCGAAAGCCUGAUCCAGCCAUGCCGCGUGAGUGAUGAAGGUCUUAGGAUUGUAAAAUUCUUUCACCGGGGACGAUAAUGACGGUACCCGGAGAAGAAGCCCCGGCUAACUUCGUGCCAGCAGCCGCAGUAACAC